rnacentral:rRNA from 1 species
AGUGAACGCUGGCGGCAGGCCUAACACAUGCAAGUCGAGCGGCAGCGCGGGGGCAACCCUGGCGGCGAGCGGCGGACGGGUGAGGAAUUCGUCGGAAUCUGCCUUUUUGUGGGGGAUAACGUAGGGAAACUUACGCUAAUACCGCAUACGUCCUACGGGAGAAAGUGGGGGACCGCAAGGCCUCACGCAGAAAGAUGAGCCGACGACCGAUUAGCUAGUUGGUGGGGUAAAGGCCCACCAAGGCGACGAUCGGUAGCUGGUCUGAGAGGAUGAUCAGCCACCCUGGGACGGAGACACGGCCCAGACUCCUACGGGAGGCAGCAGUGGGGAAUAUUGGACAAUGGGCGCAAGCCUGAUCCAGCCAUGCCGCGUGUGUGAAGGAGGCCUUCGGGUUGUAAAGCACGUUUGUCCGGAAAGAAAUCCCUGGAGCUAAUACCUUCGGGGGAUGACGGUACCGGAAGAAUAAGCACCGGCUAACUUCGUG